CGCCGCCAUUCGGGAGGCCGCCGCUCUGCAGGGCCUCGCGGCGCAACCCGGUACCGCGAGACCGGCCCCCCGCCGACAUCCGCGGUCCAGCGGCGAGGAUCGGGGCGAGCAGGCCGGGGCGUCGUCCGGGCCCGCACUCCCCGCCCGCGUCUCACGGAAGCCUAGGGCGUCCACCGAGGAGGGGCCUGCACCCCGUUAGCUCCCGCCCGGCCGGCGGAAAGACCCGCUCCCCAGAGGCCGCGGGCGGAGAGGACGCUGCGGGACUGGAGGGUGGGGAAGCAGGUUUAACUUCUCAUCUUUGUCCUUCUGCAUGUACUCCAGGCUGUUUUCUGUGGUUUAGUAAAAAAAGCCAUGUAAAUUGCUGCCCUUUGAAGACUUUUUUAAAGACUUCUAGUAAGACAGCUGAUGUGUAACAGUAAAGAAUUCUGGGAGAAAUUCAGGAGUUUACAGGAUAGAAAUGCUUUGGAUACAAAGAAGAUAGGGAUAACCAUUUACAAGAAGCUGCCAGCUUUCCACCAAAAUGCAGCCCAACAGAAGAUCACACAGAGAAGACAGAUGGCAUUUUUCUAAACUUAACAAAAUUUAAAAAAGGAUUUAAGCUGAUCUUUCAUA